CGAAGACAGAUGGGAAAAGGGAAAAUCAUUCCUAUAGAAAGAAGAAGAGUAACACGGGACCGUUCUCUCCUGCCAUCGUUGAGAGAAGAGAAAAGCUACGAACCAAUGGAAUACCGAAGAAAUUUCAGUAGAAGGAUAUGGAUCUUUCGUCUCCCUUUUGAGACUCCUUUGAGGACGUUCAUCGAAUCGAACAUAAAUGCAAUUACCGAAGGGAUCGAACCUAUACUAACUAAGCGACUACUACUACUACUAUUACAACUACUACUACUACUACUACUACUACUACAACCACAACUCUUAUUAUAUCGAUGAGUCUUCGUUUUAAUUCGCUCGGUACGGACGACCGAUUGGACCAGGACGAAUAUCAAUGGGAAGUAAUUCGCGAGAUGGGUG